rnacentral:rRNA from 1 species
CAGUCGCCGCGGUAAUACGUAGGUGGCAAGCGUUGUCCGGAAUUACUGGGCGUAAAGGGCUCGCAGGCGGUUUCUUAAGUCUGAUGUGAAAGCCCCCGGCUCAACCGGGGAGGGUCAUUGGAAACUGGGAAACUUGAGUGCAGAAGAGGAGAGUGGAAUUCCACGUGUAGCGGUGAAAUGCGUAGAGAUGUGGAGGAACACCGGUGGCGAAAGCGGCUCUCUGGUCUGUAACUGACGCUGAGGCUCGAAAGCGUGGGUAGCAAACAGGAUUAGAUACCCCCGUAGUCCCUGUCUCUUAUAC